UUAAGCGACUAAGCGUACAAGGUGGAUGCCUUGGCAAUCAGAGGCGAAGAAGGACGUGCUAAUCUGCGAAAAGCUUGGAUGAGUUGAUAAGAAGCGUUUAAUCCAAGAUAUCCGAAUGGGGCAACCCAGUGGGUGAAGAGCCCACUAUCAACGAGUGAAUACAUAGCUUGUUGAGGCAAACCGGGAGAACUGAAACAUCUAAGUACCCCGAGGAAAAGAAAUCAACCGAGAUUUUGUGAGUAGCGGCGAGCGAAAGCGAAGGAGCCUGUUAAUGAUAGCAGCAGAGAUAGAGGAAUGUGCUGGGAAGCACAGCGACACAGGGUGAUAGCCCCGUACUCGAAAUCCAGGCUGUGGUACUAAGUUAACGACAAGUAGGGCGGGACACGUGAUAUCCUGUUUGAAGAAGGGGGGACCAUCCUCCAAGGCUAAAUACUCCUGAUUGACCGAUAGUGAACCAGUACUGUGAAGGAAAGGCGAAAAGAACCCCGGUGAGGGGAGUGAAAUAGAACCUGAAACCUUGUACGUACAAGCAGUGGGAGCCCGCAAGGGUGACUGCGUACCUUUUGUAUAAUGGGUCAGCGACUUAUAUUUUGUAGCGAGGUUAACUAAAUCAGGGAGCCGAAGGGAAACCGAGUCUUAACUGGGCGGCUAGUUGCAAGGUAUAGACCCGAAACCCGGUGAUCUAGCCAUGGGCAGGUUGAAGGUUGGGUAACACUAACUGGAGGACCGAACCGACUAAUGUUGAAAAAUUAGCGGAUGACUUGUGGCUGGGGGUGAAAGGCCAAUCAAACCGGGAGAUAGCUGGUUCUCCCCGAAAUCUAUUUAGGUAGAGCCUUGAGCGGACACCUUCGGGGGUAGAGCACUGUUUCGGCUAGGGGUCCAUCCCGGAUUACCAACCCGAUGCAAACUACGAAUACCGAAGAGUGAUACUCAGGAGACACACGGCGGGUGCUAACGUUCGUCGUGGAGAGGGAAACAACCCAGACCGCCAGCUAAGGUCCCAAAGUCUAUAUUAAGUGGGAAACGAAGUGGGAAGGCUUAGACAGCUAGGAUGUUGGCUUAGAAGCAGCCAUCAUUUAAAGAAAGCGUAAUAGCUCACUAGUCGAGUCGGCCUGCGCGGAAGAUGUAACGGGGCUCAAAUAUAGCACCGAAGCUGCGGCAUCAGACGUAAGUCUGUUGGGUAGGGGAGCGUUGUGUAAGCGGAUGAAGGUUCAUCGAGAGGUGGGCUGGACGUAUCACAAGUGCGAAUGCUGACAUAAGUAACGAUAAAACGGGUGAAAAACCCGUUCGCCGGAAGACCAAGGGUUCCUGUCCAACGUUAAUCGGGGCAGGGUGAGUCGGCCCCUAAGGCGAGGCUGAAAAGCGUAGUCGAUGGGAAACGGGUUAAUAUUCCCGUACUUGGUAAAGCUGCGAUGUGGGGACGGAGCAGGUUAGGUUAGCGUGCUGUUGGAUAUGCACGUUUAAGUUGGUAGGUGGGAAGUUUAGGCAAAUCCGGACUUCCUUAACACUGAGAGAUGAUGACGAGGCUCUACGGAGCUGAAGUAACUGAUACCACACUUCCAGGAAAAGCCACUAAGCGAAAGGCUUUACUAAACCGUACUGAAAACCGACACAGGUGGUCAGGUAGAGAAUACUCAGGCGCUUGAGAGAACUCGGGUGAAGGAACUAGGCAAAAUAGCACCGUAACUUCGGGAGAAGGUGCGCCGGCGUAGAUUGUAGUCCCUAGCGGGCGAAGGUUGAACCGGUCGAAGAUACCAGCUGGCUGCAACUGUUUAUUAAAAACACAGCACUCUGCAAACACGAAAGUGGACGUAUAGGGUGUGAUGCCUGCCCGGUGCUGGAAGGUUAAUUGAUGGUGUAAUCGAAAGAGAAGCUCCUGAUCGAAGCCCCAGUAAACGGCGGCCGUAACUAUAACGGUCCUAAGGUAGCGAAAUUCCUUGUCGGGUAAGUUCCGACCUGCACGAAUGGCAUAAUGAUGGCCAGGCUGUCUCCACCCGAGACUCAGUGAAAUUGAAAUCGCCGUGAAGAUGCGGUGUACCCGCGGCUAGACGGAAAGACCCCGUGAACCUUUACUAUAGCUUGACACUGAACAUUGAAUUUUGAUGUGUAGGAUAGGUGGGAGACUUAGAAGUAGUCACGCCAGUGAUUAUGGAGUCGUCCUUGAAAUACCACCCUUUAACGUUUGAUGUUCUAACGAAGAUUACGAAACGUGGUCUCGGACAGUGUCUGGUGGGUAGUUUGACUGGGGCGGUCUCCUCCCAAAGAGUAACGGAGGAGCACGAAGGUUUGCUAAUCACGGUCGGACAUCGUGAGGUUAGUGCAAUGGUAUAAGCAAGCUUAACUGCGAGACAGACAAGUCGAGCAGGUACGAAAGUAGGUCAUAGUGAUCCGGUGGUUCUGAAUGGAAGGGCCAUCGCUCAACGGAUAAAAGGUACUCCGGGGAUAACAGGCUGAUUCCGCCCAAGAGUUCAUAUCGACGGCGGAGUUUGGCACCUCGAUGUCGGCUCAUCACAUCCUGGGGCUGUAGUCGGUCCCAAGGGUAUGGCUGUUCGCCAUUUAAAGUGGUACGUGAGCUGGGUUUAAAACGUCGUGAGACAGUUUGGUCCCUAUCUGCAGUGGGCGUUGGAAGUUUGACGGGGGCUGCUCCUAGUACGAGAGGACCGGAGUGGACGAACCUCUGGUGUACCGGUUGUAACGCCAGUUGCAUAGCCGGGUAGCUAAGUUCGGAAGAGAUAAGCGCUGAAAGCAUCUAAGCGCGAAACUCGCCUGAAGAUGAGACUUCCCUUGCGGUUUAACCGCACUAAAGAGUCGUUCGAGACCAGGACGUUGAUAGGUGGGGUGUGGAAGCGCGGUAACGCGUGAAGCUAACCCAUACUAAUUGCUCGUGAGGCUUGACUCU
rnacentral:rRNA from 1 species